rnacentral:lncRNA from 1 species
GUGGAAUUAGCUGUGUAACAGUGUUGUCUAGUAAUUGCAGCUGUGCCUGCCUGUGCCCACGUAGGGAGACUCUGAGCUGUUGCGAGGUGUUUCGAGAUUGCUGCAGAUCCCCCUCUCUCUCCUCGCAAGCAUCACCUCGGCGGAGAGGAAGGCGCUGUGCACGCUCCCACACGCCUGCGCCUUCUCGGCGGAGAGCUCGCCGGCUCGCGGGUGACCGUGCCCUGAUGCCUCAGCGCUGGCUUGUGGUGCAGCGCCUCGUGCGCCGUUUUUUCUGUCGUGCUGAUUUAAAAAGCUGUGCAGGGCAGGCUGGAGCACCUUGCAGUCACCUGCCCGAAACAGAGAAGAGAGCCGUGAGAUUUUCACUUCUCAUUCCCCUGCGGCUCUCCCCUCGCCAUGCCUGCUCCGGGAAGCGAAAGCCUGUGUUUGUCCUGUGGUCUGGCAUUAAAACGAGCAGCUUCAGUGGAAAGAGACCGUGCCAUUAAUUCCACUGCUGUCCGUGCAGAUCUGUGAAUCUCAGACCGCGGCUGGUAAGUGCUCCUGUUGUUUGGCAACAAAUAACGCCCCCCUUGCUUUCCUGAAACACCUGCCCAGCUUUACUUUCAACUCACCGAGGAGCAGAGGUGCUGGCCAAGUCACUGAGACUUUUUUGGGCAUAAAACAAACGGGAUUCUGUUCGACAUCUGAACUUCCUUUUUUAAAGACGCGCUGUUCAUAGGAACAAAACACAAUAUGAAUACUGUAGUACAAAGCGUCUUACUCCUGU